GACCCCCGAAAAGGGAAUGUAUGCGCGCUCAUUAGCUAUGUGGCGGUCAAGGGCCUUGCCAGGCGACGAGUGGCCUAGUUCGAGGGAAGUCCCCACAUGUACUGAAAUGACCACCCUACGGAGCAGCAGUGAGGAUAUGUCAUGGCGGGAGCUGACAGCAGUCGCGUGAGGAGGAGUCUACGAUGUAAACUCUUAGCCGGGAGCACGUGCGCCACGCGUGCGCAGUGAGAGUACCCGAGAUAGCAUCGGCUAACUCCGUGCCAGCAGCCGCGGUAAUACGGAGGAUGCGAGCGCUAUCCGGGAUUUAUUGGGUUUAAAGGGUGCGCAGGCGGCGCGAAAAGUCAGCGGUCAAAGUUCCGGGCUCAACCCGGUGACGCCGUUGAAACUUUCGUGCUGGAGUUCGUGCGAGGGAGGCGGAAUGCGUUGUGUAGCGGUGAAAUGCAUAGAUAUGACGCAGAACCCCGAUUGCGAAGGCAGCUUUCCAGCACGCGACUGACGCUGAGGCACGAAAGCGUGGGGAGCGAACAGGAUUAGAUACCCUGGUAGUCCACGCGGUAAACGAUGAAUACUAGCCCUGCGGCGCGAAUGAGUGCUGCGGGGCAGAGUGAAAACGUUAAGUAUUCCACCUGGGGAGUACGCCGGCAACGGUGAAACUCAAAGGAAUUGACGGGGGCCCGCACAAGCGGAGGAACAUGUGGUUUAAUUCGAUGAUACGCGAGGAACCUUACCCGGGCUCAAACGGCGGGAGACGCGUCCGGAAACGGGCGUUCCCUUCGGGGCUGCCGCCGAGGUGCUGCAUGGUUGUCGUCAGCUCGUGCCGUGAGGUGUCGGCUUAAGUGCCAUAACGAGCGCAACCCCCAUCUUCAGUUGCCAGCGGGCAAAGCCGGGCACUCUGGAGAGACUGCCAGCGCAAGCUGUGAGGAAGGCGGGGAUGACGUCAAAUCAGCACGGCCCUUACGUCCGGGGCGACACACGUGUUACAAUGGCAGGGUCACAGAGGGAAGCCAGGCGGCGACGCCGAGCCGAUCCCGAAAACCUGUCUCAGUUCGGAUCGGAGUCUGCAACCCGACUCCGUGAAGCUGGAUUCGCUAGUAAUCGCGCAUCAGCCAUGGCGCGGUGAAUACGUUCCCGGGCCUUGUACACACCGCCCGUCAAGCCAUGGAAGCCUGGAGUGCCUGAAGUUCGUGACCGCGAGGAGCGACCAAGGGUAAGACAGGUAACUGGGGCUAAGUCGUAACAAGGUAAAUCACUGGCCGUCGACCUCUU
rnacentral:rRNA from 1 species